rnacentral:rRNA from 1 species
UACGAAGGGUGCAAGCGUUACUCGGAAUUACUGGGCGUAAAGCGUGCGUAGGUGGUUUGUUAAGUCUGUUGUGAAAGCCCCGGGCUCAACCUGGGAAUGGCAAUGGAUACUGGCAGGCUAGAGUGCGGUAGGGGGAGUGUGGAAUUCCUGGUGGAGCGGUGAAAUGCGCAGAUAUCAGGAGGAACACCCGUAGCGAAGGCGGCACUCUGGGCCGAUACUGACACUGAGGAGCGAAAGCGUGGGGAGCGAACAGG